rnacentral:rRNA from 1 species
GUGCCAGCCGCCGCGGUAAUACGUAGGGUGCGAGCGUUAAUCGGAAUUACUGGGCGUAAAGCGUGCGUAGGCGGUUCGCUAAGUCCUGUGUGAAAGCCCCGGGCUCAACUCGGGAACGGCAUGGGAAACUGACGGACUGGAGUGUGGCAGAGGGGGGUGGAAUUCCGCGUGUAGCAGUGAAAUGCGUAGAGAUGCGGAGGAACACCGAUGGCGAAGGCAGCCCCCUGGGCCAACACUGACGCUGAGGGCACGAAAGCGUGGGGAGCAAACAGGAUUAGAAACCCCCGUAGUCC